AAAAGUGAAAGUAAAAAGUACAUAUGUUGCUGCCAUUUUGAAACAACUGCGCCAUGAAGGUCAACAAUCUAUGUCUUUCUGUGAAAUAUGCUGAGCAACAAUAAACUGCCUUGGACUUUCAUCAACGUCAUUUCUGAGAAGGAGCGGAUGGAAAUCUCCUGACGGCUAUGAGGAGAGUGAAGUAAAUAUGAA